UCUUAAAAACUGUAAUUUGGCCGGGCGCGGUGGCUCACGCCUGUAAUCCCAGCACUUUGGGAGGCCGAGGCGGGCGGAUCACGAGGGUCAGGAGAUCGAGACCAUGGUGAAACCCCAUCUCUAUUAAAAGUACAAAAAAUUAGCCGGGCGCAGUGGCAGGCGCCUGUAGUCCCAGCUACUCGGAAGGCUGAGGCAGGAGAAUGGCGUGAACCCAGGAGGCAGAGCCUGCAGUGAGCCGAG
rnacentral:lncRNA from 10 species